rnacentral:rRNA from 1 species
UGAACGCUGGCGGCGUGCCUCAUACAUGCAAGUCGAGCGAACAGACGAGGAGCUUGCUCCUCUGACGUUAGCGGCGGACGGGUGAGUAACACGUGGAUAACCUACCUAUAAGACUGGGAUAACUUCGGGAAACCGGAGCUAAUACCGGAUAAUAUAUUGAACCGCAUGGUUCAAUAGUGAAAGACGGUUUUGCUGUCACUUAUAGAUGGAUCCGCGCCGCAUUAGCUAGUUGGUAAGGUAACGGCUUACCAAGGCAACGAUGCGUAGCCGACCUGAGAGGGUGAUCGGCCACACUGGAACUGAGACACGGUCCAGACUCCUACGGGAGGCAGCAGUAGGGAAUCUUCCGCAAUGGGCGAAAGCCUGACGGAGCAACGCCGCGUGAGUGAUGAAGGUCUUCGGAUCGUAAAACUCUGUUAUUAGGGAAGAACAAAUGUGUAAGUAACUAUGCACGUCUUGACGGUACCUAAUCAGAAAGCCACGGCUAACUACGUG